AUUGAACGCUGGCGGCAGGCCUAACACAUGCAAGUCGAACGAGUGGCGGACGGGUGAGUAAUGUCUGGGAAACUGCCUGAUGGAGGGGGAUAACUACUGGAAACGGUAGCUAAUACCGCAUACCAUCGGAUGUGCCCAGAUGGGAUUAGCUAGUAGGUGGGGUAAAGGCUCACCUAGGCGACGAUCCAUAGCUGGUCUGAGAGGAUGAACAGCGACACUGGAGCUGCUACACGGUCCAGACUCCUACGGGAGGCAGCAGUUGGGAAUAUUGCACAAUGGGCGCAAGCCUGAUCCAGCCAUGCCGCGUGUGUGAAGAAGGUCUUCGGGUUGUAAAGUACUUUCAGCGGGGCGGCGUUACCCGCAGAAGAAGCACCGGCUAACUCCGUGCCAGCAGCCGCGGUAAUUC
rnacentral:rRNA from 1 species